ensembl:lncRNA
AUCCUUUUCAGCAGUGAUUGCUGUUCCAUGGUCUGGGUGUACCCAGCUACUCAACCUACAAACUUUUCAAUUCUCACCAGCAAUGAAUGGGACUUCCUGCUGCCCCACAUCAUUGCCAGCACUCCGUGUUGUCAGUGAUCCAGACUUUGGCCAUUCUAAUAGGUGUUGUAGGUUCCUUAACCUUUUAAAAAAAGAAAAGCAUGAAAUGCAAAGAACAGAACAUUUUCUAUAUUGUCUCCAGACAUGGAUACCAUUGUUAAAGUUUAACAGUUGUUCUUCAGGAUUUUUUUUUUUUUCUGCUAAUACAGGCAGCCCUCAUGUUAUUGUGCCUUGCAGAUACUGUGUUUUUUGUCUUUGUUUUUUACAGAAGUGAAGUUUUGUGGCAACCCUGCCUCGAGCAGGUCUGUUGGCUCCAUUUCAUAAAUGUUUGCUCACUUUGGGUCUCCAUGUCCCAUUUCCUGACAAUACUUCAGACAUUUUCAUCAUUCUGUCUGCUAUGGAGAUCCGUGAUGCUCACACUGUGAUUGUUUGGGGACCACACAAGCCAUGCCCGUGUAAGACACAUAUCGAUAAUUGGCACGGCCACCCCAACCUUCCCCUCCACCGCUCUGAUCAGUCAGCAGCCACCAAAAACAAGCAAGAAUCUCCACCAAUGAAAGGAAAAUUCCUGAAGGCUCAGAUGACGGGUAGCACACAGUGUUUUUAAAUUAAGAAUGGCGUGACUUUGGAAUGGGGUCUUGAAGGAGGCACUGAAGUACAGCAGUACUUGAUGAAGGACUGAGGAAUGCUCACUGCGUUGGCAUCACUCGGCUUUUAAAAU